GGCCCCGUAGCCCAAUGGAUAAGGCAUCUGACUUCGGAUCUGAAGAUUGCGGGUUCGAGUCCCGUCAGGGUCG
rnacentral:tRNA from 1 species